rnacentral:ncRNA from 1 species
GGGAAAGCGCUUGGAAUUUCCGGCAGUCUGGCAGUGUUAAUAGCCUUUUCUUUGGCGGAUAAGGCGGUUAGUGAAUU